rnacentral:rRNA from 1 species
GACAGAGGAUGCAAGCGUUAUCCGGAAUGAUUGGGCGUAAAGCGUCUGUAGGUGGCUUUUUAAGUCCGCCGUCAAAUCCCAGGGCUCAACCCUGGACAGGCGGUGGAAACUACCAAGCUGGAGUACGGUAGGGGCAGAGGGAAUUUCCGGUGGAGCGGUGAAAUGCGCAGAUAUCAGGAGGAAUACCGAUGGCGAAGGCAGGUCUCUGGGCUGACACUGACGCUCAUGCACGAAAGCGUGGGGAGCAAACAGG